rnacentral:rRNA from 1 species
GACGAACGCUGGCGGCAUGCUUUACACAUGCAAGUCGAACGGUAACAGGCCGCAAGGUGCUGACGAGUGGCGAACGGGUGAGUAAUGCGUCGGAACGUGCCGAGUAGUGGGGGAUAACGCAGCGAAAGUUGUGCUAAUACCGCAUACGUACUGAGGUAGAAAGUGGGGGACCUUCGGGCCUCACGCUAUUCGAGCGGCCGACGUCUGAUUAGCUAGUAGGUGAGGUAAAGGCUCACCUAGGCGACGAUCAGUAGCGGGUCUGAGAGGAUGAUCCGCCACACUGGGACUGAGACACGGCCCAGACUCCUACGGGAGGCAGCAGUGGGGAAUUUUGGACAAUGGGCGAAAGCCUGAUCCAGCCAUGCCGCGUGUCUGAAGAAGGCCUUCGGGUUGUAAAGGACUUUUGUCAGGGAGGAAAUCCCUAGCGUUAAUACCGCUGGGGGAUGACAGUACCUGAAGAAUAAGCACCGGCUAACUACGUGCCAGCCGCCGCAGUAA